UAGAAAUAUGAUGUAUAUUGUCUGACUCCUGACCCAGUGCUUGAAAGUAAAAAUGAAUAUUGAAAAGGUAUUUGUAUAAAGCUCAAGUAAACGGCGGCUGUAACCUUGACGGUCUUAAGGUAGCGAAAUCCCUAGUCAAUUAAUUGUUGACGUGCAUGAAUGGAGUAACGACUGUUUUACUGUCUCGGGCUUUUGUACUGUGAAUUCAUAAUUGUCGUGAAGAUACGACAUUCCUAUAGUGGGACGGUAAGACCCUAUGCAGCUUUACUAUAAUUUUAAAGUGUUUGAAAUUCUUUAAGUAUGUAGGAUAGGUAUAAGCUUAUUAUUUCUUAACGCAAGUUAAUUGAUUAGGCAAUCUUGAAAUAGUACCUCUUUAAAAAAUUUUAAACUAAUUUUACAAAGACAUUUUAUGAUUGGUAGUUUCACUGGGGCG
rnacentral:rRNA from 1 species